ensembl:snRNA U4 U4 spliceosomal RNA
AGCUUUGCUCAGUGGCAGUAUCGUAGCCAAUGAGGUUUAUCCGAGGCACGGUUAUUGCUAAUUGAAAAUAGGUCGGAAUAAAAUUCUGUGGGAUAAAUAGAUUAACAACUCAAGUUCAAAGAGU